rnacentral:rRNA from 1 species
CCUAACUACGUGCCAGCAGCCGCGGUAAUACGUAGGGUGCGAGCGUUAAUCGGAAUUACUGGGCGUAAAGCGUGCGCAGGCGGUUUUGUAAGACAGGUGUGAAAUCCCCGGGCUUAACCUGGGAACUGCGCUUGUGACUGCAAGGCUAGAGUACGGCAGAGGGGGGUGGAAUUCCACGUGUAGCAGUGAAAUGCGUAGAUAUGUGGAGGAACACCGAUGGCGAAGGCAGCCCCCUGGGCCGAUACUGACGCUCAUGCACGAAAGCGUGGGGAGCAAACAGGAUUAGAUACCCUGGUAGUCCACGCCCUAAACGAUGUCGACUAGUUGUUCGGAGCGGUAACGCACUGAGUAACGUAGCUAACGCGUGAAGUCGACCGCCUGGGGAGUACGGUCGCAAGAUUAAAACUCAAAGGAAUUGACGGGGACCCGCACAAGCGGUGGAUGAUGUGGAUUAAUUCGAUGCAACGCGAAAAACCUUACCUACCCUUGACAUGUCUGGAAUCCUUGAGAGAUCAGGGAGUGCCUUCGGGAGCCAGAACACAGGUGCUGCAUGGCUGUCGUCAGCUCGUGUCGUGAGAUGUUGGGUUAAGUCCCGCAACGAGCGCAACCCUUGUCGCUAAUUGCCAUCAUUUGGUUGGGCACUUUAGCGAGACUGCCGGUGACAAACCGGAGGAAGGUGGGGAUGACGUCAAGUCCUCAUGGCCCUUAUGGGUAGGGCUUCACACGUCAUACAAUGGUCGGUACAGAGGGUUGCCAAGCCGCGAGGUGGAGCUAAUCUCAAAAAGCCGAUCGUAGUCCGGAUCGUAGUCUGCAACUCGACUACGUGAAGUCGGAAUCGCUAGUAAUCGUGGAUCAGCAUGCCACGGUGAAUACGUUCCCGGGUCUCGUACACACCGCCCGUCACACCAUGGGAGUGGGUUUCACCAGAAGUAGGUAGCUUAACCUUCGGGAGGGCGCUUACCACGGUGAGAUUCAUGACUGGGGUGAAGUCGUAACAAGGUAACCGAAUCUCUGAAGUCCGCGGAUUA